UGGUCUUGUCUUUCAUAUCUCUUCAGGAACAGCAAACAAGAUAACAUGAGAACAUCAGACCACUUGCCGCCUGGAAAAAAAUGAAUCUUUGUAGAAGAAAUUUACAGAAAAUUCUCUUUAUAGAGCCACUCCAUACCAAACAUGUCAUAUGAAUUGAACAAGAGUUCCCUGCAGUGACUGCAGAAAAUAAACAGUAACAGCUUCAACAGAAAGGACUCAGUAUGACACUGCUAUUACGGUAUGACAUACCCAAGGAUGAUCAGGCCUUUGGAAGGGGAAAGAAAAGACUUUGUCCUGCCUCUGUGAAUGAUCCUCUGUUCCAAAAUAAACAGCUUGACUGUAAACCAAGGUGUUCCUGCAGCAGCUCACAUCUUGUGGGUUUGGAGACAGAGAAAGUGUUUGGGAAGUCUCAGGAGAGAAUCUUUUAAAGAUAGUUGACUGUACAAGAAAGAAUAAGCAGAUCCUAAGAAGAGAAUGCAGUGUCCGUAGAAAAUACUUUACAUCCCUGGAAAAAUACUUAAUAUACACGUCUCUCUCUCAGCCUUAGUCUCUAGUAACAGAGACAAAUGAAACUACAACUAUCAACAAGAUAUGAAGGAAUAUAUACACUCAUUAUUUCACUCAGUUAUGCUUCAAACCCUAAUUUUCCUACCAGCUGCAGAUUUUGAUUUACAGAGACCUUUAUGGCUACUAUCUUGGUUUCCUUAGAAACCACCUUAGACUUACUCUCCAUGUUUUACAAGAAAAAAGCCAAAUCACCUGAGUUUUUUUUUGGAGCCUGGAUGUGGUCUCUGAAGGUACUGGUGGAAGAGCUGUUUUGAUGGACAGCCCUUACAUCAGGUAAUUUUUAAUAUUUUUUUUCUAAAUGGAUUCAUUUUAAUGAUGGUUCAAGCAUGCUUUGCCAUGAAUCCAUCUUUGUAAUUGGGAGAUUAACCUAUUCAGGCUGUUCAUAGAGCUGAUGAAGUUCAAUUUGUUUGACAAUGGCUGGUACAUUAUAUAUAUUUAUAUUGGUCCAUUUGCCCCAGAAUAACCAAUGUAUUUAACAAAGAAUCUAUUUUUGUUUAUAUCUUGGUGUGUCCUUAUAUUUUAUUUUGAUGCUGUUGGUUCUUUUCAUUUAAAAAAAGGAUAUUUGAUAUGGCAAGGUUCAAGUGUCAAGGCCUACAAUGUUUGGCAUAUUUGUAAAGAAUCUGGAAAAAAAGAAAAGUGACUGUGCCAAUGCUGAUAAACUGCAACAUAAGACUGUAGAACUGCUGGUGUAUUCAUGAUACUGAGACAAUAAAAUGACAGAUGACAUUCA
ensembl:lncRNA